CUUUUGUUUCCCUUUUGAGGGUAUUCCUCUUUAUUAAAACCGGGGGAGUUUCCUGUUUUUCCCUAUUUCAAAAAAACCCCCUGCCCUCUGUUUACCUAGGGAGGGGUUUGGCUGUGGGGGCUUUUUUAAAAAGGAAACCCCCGUGGGGAAAAUUUAAAUUUGGCCUGGGGAGGUUUUUCCCAAAACCCGGGUUCUUCUAAGUCCAGGGCCCAAAGUGGGGGUUCCCGGGACCCCUAUGGGGCCGAAAAUUGGAGCCGGAAAAACCUUCCCCAAGGUUCCGCCGGGUUGGGAACGUUUUCGGUAUUUUUGGGGAAAGUUCAUUAAAGUUGAAACGCCCUAACCCCAAAAAAGGUUAUUUUUGGUUUUUGGAAAUUUUUACCUUUUGUUGGUAAAGCCAAGAGCUAGGGUUAAAGGUUUAUUUUCCCUUCCCGUGGUUUGUACCCCAAACAGAAGGCUAAUUUUUUUUUCCGGGCCCCCCAGGCUUUCUAAUAAGUUGGCAAGCCUUGGCAAGCGUUGUCCGGAUUUAUUGGGCGUAAAGCGAGCGCAGGCGGUUUCUUAAGUCUGAUGUGAAAGCCCCCGGCUCAACCGGGGAGGGUCAUUACCAAGCUGGAAGACUUGAGUGCAGAAGAGGAGAGUUGUACUUCCUGGGGACCCGAUAAAAUGCGUAGAUAUAUGGAGAACCACCAGUGGAGACGGCGUUUCUAUGGUUUGUAACUGACGCUGAGUCUAGAAAGCGUGGGGAGCAAACAGGAUUAGAUACCCUGGUUGUCCACGCCGUAAACGAUGAGUGCUAAGUGUUGGAGGGUUUCCGCCUUUCAGUGCUGCAGCUAACGCAUUAAGCACUCCGCCUGGGGAGUACGACCGCAAGGUUGAAACUCAAAGGAAUUGACGGGGGCCCGCACAAGCGGUGGAGCAUGUGGUUUAAUUCGAAGCAACGCGAAGAACCUUACCAGGUCUUGACAUCCUUUGACCACUCUAGAGAUAGAGCUUCCCCUUCGGGGGCAAAGUGACAGGUGGUGCAUGGUUGUCGUCAGCUCGUGUCGUGAGAUGUUGGGUUAAGUCCCGCAACGAGCGCAACCCUUAUUGUUAGUUGCCAUCAUUCAGUUGGGCACUCUAGCAAGACUGCCGGUGACAAACCGGAGGAAGGUGGGGAUGACGUCAAAUCAUCAUGCCCCUUAUGACCUGGGCUACACACGUGCUACAAUGGGAAGUACAACGAGUUGCGAAGUCGCGAGGCUAAGCUAAUCUCUUAAAGCUUCUCUCAGUUCGGAUUGCAGGCUGCAACUCGCCUGCAUGAAGCCGGAAUCGCUAGUAAUCGCGGAUCAGCACGCCGCGGUGAAUACGUUCCCGGGCCUUGUACACACCGCCCGUCACACCACGAGAGUUUGUAACACCCGAAGUCGGUGAGGUAACCUUUUGGAGCCAGCCGCCUAAGGUGGGAUAGAUGAUUGGGGUGAAGUCGUAACAAGAGCAUGGCC
rnacentral:rRNA from 1 species